CUGGCGGCGUGCCUAAUACAUGCAAGUCGAGCGGACAGAUGGGAGCUUGCUCCCUGAUGUUAGCGGCGGACGGGUGAGUAACACGUGGGUAACCUGCCUGUAAGACUGGGAUAACUCCGGGAAACCGGGGCUAAUACCGGAUGGUUGUUUGAACCGCAUGGUUCAGACAUAAAAGGUGGCUUCGGCUACCACUUACAGAUGGACCCGCGGCGCAUUAGCUAGUUGGUGAGGUAACGGCUCACCAAGGCGACGAUGCGUAGCCGACCUGAGAGGGUGAUCGGCCACACUGGGACUGAGACACGGCCCAGACUCCUACGGGAGGCAGCAGUAGGGAAUCUUCCGCAAUGGACGAAAGUCUGACGGAGCAACGCCGCGUGAGUGAUGAAGGUUUUCGGAUCGUAAAGCUCUGUUGUUAGGGAA
rnacentral:rRNA from 1 species